rnacentral:lncRNA from 1 species
GUACUAAUUUGACUUUAAAAAAAAUGAGCCCAAUCAGGUUGGUAUCCUUAGAAAAAUUUUGAAUUGAAUAUUACUCAAACUACUUGCUCUCCAAUUAUUUCAGACAUUUAAAGAAAAAAAAUUUAAAGCAAAUCAGAGACUGUACACACCAUUUCUGCUCUCUGGCUACCGAAGGAUCUCUUAUUUCUCCUUCAAAAACCACCGGGUCAUUACCCUCUCUUCAAAGCCUGGGGGCACUCUGCCCACCUUACUCAAAAGCCGGACAGCCCCUCCCUCCUCCCUUAUACCUGGAGGAAGCAGCGGUGGUCUGAAAGUCAGAUGGGGUCACUAUACGCCAGCGGGUGUGGAGCAGGCUGUUGGGGACCCUCUCUAGGGAAUACCAAAUGACGGCCGGACUAGUGCACAGUGCAGCAUCCUGCAAAGACUCUGAGCCCUUCUGCUCCGGGGGCAAGGAGACCAUUGGGAAUCUGGGUCCUCCAGUGGAUUGGCCUGGAAUGGCUAAUUAGAAGCUUGACCUUUCACAUGUCUGGGGAAUGUGAGUCUCCAGAACCCAACAAGAUUGGAACAAGGAAGCUCAUACCCUCAAUGCUGUUGGCAGCCACUCUGUGGCCAUGAGAUCCAGCUUUAAAAUGAUCCUUUGAGUAACAGAG